rnacentral:rRNA from 1 species
UGAAUACGAGACGCUAAGGCGUCGAAGUAGUGUAUGUCAUACUUCCAAGAAAAGCUUGCACUGUCAUAAGUAAAAAAUGCCUGUACCAUAACCGACACAGGUGGGUAGGUAGAGUAUACUAAGGGGCGCGAGAUAACUCUCUCUAAGGAACUCGGCAAAAUAACUCCGUAACUUCGGGAGAAGGAGUACCUUAUUCUAUAAGGUUGCAAUAACAAGAUCCAAGCAACUGUUUAUCAAAAACACAGGUCUCCGCUAAGUCGUAAGACGAUGUAUGGGGGCUGACGCCUGCCCAGUGCCAGAAGGUUAAAGAAGUCGGUUAGCAUUAGCGAAGCUGGUAACUGAAGCCCUGGUGAACGGCGGCCGUAACAAUAACGGUCCUAAGGUAGCGAAAUUCCUUGUCGGGUAAGUUCCGACCCGCACGAAAGGCGUAAUGAUUUGGAUACUGUCUCGGAGAGGGGCUCGGUGAAAUAGACUUGUCUGUGAAGAUGCGGACUACCUGCACCAGGACAGAAAGACCCUAUGAAGCUUUACUGUAACUUGAAAUUGAAAUUGGACUUUAUUCGCGCAGUAUAGGUGGGAGGUGUUGAUUAUAAUCUUGCGGGAUUAUUGGAGCCAUCAGUGAGAUACCACUCUUGUAAUGUUAGAUUUCUAACUUUGAAUCAUUAUCUGGUCAAAGGACAGUUUCAGGCGGGCAGUUUGACUGGGGCGGUCGCCUCCCAAACGGUAACGGAGGCGUACAAAGGUUUCCUCUGAACGGGUAGAAAUCGUAUCUAGAGUGUAAAGGCAUAAGGAAGCUUGACUGUGAGACCUACAAGUCGAGCAGGGACGAAAGUCGGUCUUAGUGAUCUGACGGUACUGAGUGGAAAGGCCGUCACUCAACGGAUAAAAGUUACUCUAAGGAUAACAGGCUGAUCUCCCCCAAGAGUUCACAUCGACGGGGAGGUUUGGCACCUCGAUGUCGGCUCAUCGCAUCCUGGGGCGGUAGUACGUCCCAAGGGUUGGGCUGUUCGCCCAUGAAAGCGGUACGCGAGCUGGGUUCAGAACGUCGUGAGACAGUUCGGUCCAUAUCCGGUGUAGGCGUUAGAAUAUUGAGAGGAGCCUUCUUUAGUACGAGGGGACCGAGAAGGACAUACCUCUGGUGUACCAGUUAUCGUGCCAACGGUAAACGCUGGGUAGCUAUGUAUGGAGUGGAUAACCGCUGAAAGCAUCUAAGUGGGAAGCCCACCUCAAGAUAAGUAUUCUCAUC